CUGGCAGGAAGCAGGAAAAACUGCCUCCCAUAGGUCACAUCACUGUGACAGACAGACAGCAGCAGGUGCCCGCAGCCCAACCGCUGUCCCUACAGACAGUCACCCUGCUGUGUGCAUCUUCAAAAUCUUUAAUCAAAAUACUCAAUUGAACAAAAAAGAAUGGGUGAGUCAGUAUUUUUGUUCCUAGACGCACAUCUACAUGGUACAGUAUGCCAAUCUGGAUGUACAGCCUGAUGUCCAGGCCAGAACACGGACUCAAGAAUAUACACCCUUUUACUGCUCAGAACUGCCAAGAUGUGCCAGCCCUCUCAUACUCUGUUAAAGGAAAUUGUGAGAGUACCAGUGUAGCCUGGAAACAGAAUAUACAAGCACAGUAAAAAGUCGGGGAAAGUAUCACAAGAUAUUAAAGACUGAUGCAUAAAGUUUUUUUUUUUAAAAUCAAGUGAUUUUUAUUGAGUUUUGCGUCACAGAAACAUAACAAAACAUCAACAUUGAAAAUUAACUAUAACAAUAACAAUUGCCAUCAAUAAACAGAUAUUUUCAGAUCACAA